rnacentral:miRNA from 1 species
UGGGACAGGGUGACAGGGUGAG